rnacentral:lncRNA from 1 species
AGAGUGCAGACACAGUAUUCACAAUUUUGAUUGUGACUCGGCAUAACUAGCCUCACGCCAUUUGUAUCAUUUGUCGGAUCGUUAAUGCUAACCAUUAAUCUCAAACGAUCGAACUAUUAAAAAUACGCAAUUAAUUUACUUAAAACGUAGAAAUACAGCGUACACGGAUUUUGAUUGUGACUUAGUCCAUCUAGCCUCACGAUAGGAACACGACUUGGCCUAAUCCAGCCUUCCACCAUUCCGAACAUAACUUGCUCCUAUCUGACAUCUUGCCAUAGGGCAAAAUACUGUUCCCUUUAAACCAAUAGUACGUUAGACAUUUGAUACG